rnacentral:rRNA from 1 species
CGGAGGAUCCAAGCGUUAUCCGGAAUCAUUGGGUUUAAAGGGUCCGUAGGCGGUUUAGUAAGUCAGUGGUGAAAGCCCAUCGCUCAACGGUGGAACGGCCAUUGAUACUGCUAGACUUGAACUAUUAGGAAGUAACUAGAAUAUGUAGUGUAGCGGUGAAAUGCUUAGAGAUUACAUGGAAUACCAAUUGCGAAGGCAGGUUACUACUAAUGGAUUGACGCUGAUGGACGAAAGCGUGGGUAGCGAACAGGAUUAGAUACCCUGGUAGUCCACGCCGUAAACGAUGGAUACUAGCUGUUGGGAGCGAUCUCAGUGGCUAAGCGAAAGUGAUAAGUAUCCCACCUGGGGAGUACGUUCGCAAGAAUG